rnacentral:rRNA from 1 species
GCUUACGGCCAUACCACCCUGAGCAAGCCCGAUCUCGUCUGAUCUCGGAGGCUAAGCAGGGUCUGGCCUGGUUAGUACUUGGAUGGGGGACCGCCUGGGAAUACCAGGUGCUGUAAGCU